CUCACUUGCCAGCAUCCAUCUUGGCAUGGCCUUCUCAUUCCACCACAGAAAGGAGUUGCCUUCAUGGACUCAAAUUGCUUUAAAAUACGAGUUGUUUUAGAGGCAAAUAACUCUCCACUCCAGCUCAAAAUCCACAUGGAUACUAUCUUGAUUCUUUUGCAGUAUGGUUUAUUAUCACAAGUUUUAAAAAGUGUUCCCAGGAAUUCUAACGUGUAGCCAUAGUUGAGACUGACCAGACCAACUAGUUCAGCUUUCAAGCAACACGCAACAGUGUCAAGAAACUCCUCCUGUGCGUGUACGUACAGACAGAGCUGCAAUUCUUUCAGGGAAGGACAAGGCUUCCUUACAAAUGAACAUAUUGUCUUGAUGUGAUCAUGGUUGAACUCAACAGAUAUUUGCAGGAAGUUGGAGGAAGACACUGUGUUUUCUUGCAUCAUAAACCCGAAGUGCUCAGAACAUAACAGGAAGUGAAGGUUAAGGUAUGGGCAAGCAAAUCCAGCCUUCUGUGAAUACAUCUGAAUCCUCCCUGGUGUGGUCAGGGACAGGGUUCUCACGACAGAGCCUAAGCAGGAGUAACUCAGGGCCUGCUUGAAGGUUUGUGUCACAAAGAGCCACAUCUGCUCCUCUAACCUUUCUGUCUUGAAGCAAGCAAGGUUGGUGAUGUCUGGAGAGACCAAGUGUGAUAAUGGAAGAGUCUCCAUCAGUCCAACCCUGAGUGAGAGACGACCCACACACUGAGCAACUGCCUUGACUCAGAGGUGAGGAUGCAGGAAACUGCUACUGUGCCAAAUCGUGGGCAUACUGGGAUCUGCUGAUGACUUCAGCCUUGUCUGACUAACACAGAAGGACCAAGCAUUUGUCCUUUUGCAGACUAGAACCUCUGACUACUGCAAUCCCAGAUCACUAGGAAACUGGAAACUGGAGGAGAGGAGAGGAGUGGCAGAUCAGGGGUGAGAUGGGGACACAGGGGAAGGAGAUGCACCUUCUCAUUGUUUUCAUUUGUUGUAUUAUGAAGACAAUCGCUAACUGUAAGAUCCAUUUUGAGACAAAGAAUGAAGCAUGUUAUGCUAAUGUUUUAUUCCUAUCGUCUGGGACAUUAGGAACUCUUCGUGUGACCCUUCCUGAUGUCAUCAUAUCAUUCCUUCCAUGCGCUGAGCAGGUAUCCAUUGCUGUGACUUUAUAUAGUUAUUCCUUCACUUUUUUCACAGUUUUACACA